UACAGAGGUCUCAAGCGUUGUUCGGAUUCAUUGGGCGUAAAGGGUGCGUAGGCGGCGCGGUAAGUCGGGUGUGAAAUCUCGGGGCUUAACCCCGAAACUGCAUUCGAUACUGCCGUGCUUGAGGACUGGAGAGGAGACUGGAAUUUACGGUGUAGCGGUGAAAUGCGUAGAUAUCGUAAGGAAGACCAGUGGCGAAGGCGGGUCUCUGGACAGUUCCUGACGCUGAGGCACGAAGGUCAGGGGAGCAAACGGG
rnacentral:rRNA from 1 species